rnacentral:rRNA from 1 species
UUGUUCCUACGGGACGCAGCAGUAGGGAAUCUUCGGCAAUGGGCGAAAGCCUGACCGAGCCACGCCGCGUGAAUGAAGAAGGCCUUCGGGUUGUAAAAUUCUAUUAUAAGGGAAGAAAGGUGAUAGGAGGAAAUGACUAUCAAUUGACGGUACCUUAUGAGAAAGCCACGGCUAACUACGUGCCAGCAGCCGCGGUAAUACGUAGGUGGCCAGCGUUAUCCGGAAUUAUUGGGCGUAAAGAGCGCGCAGGUGGUUAAUUAAGUCUGAUGUGAAAGCCCACGGCUUAACCGUGGAGGGUCAUUGGA